AUGUACCACGCGUACAUUCCGGUUCCUGCGCGCCGUCCGCCCCCACCUGACGCCUGCCAGCUCCGUUUUGUCAGCC
rnacentral:sRNA from 1 species